UCUGUUUAUAUGCUGAAAGGUUUCAGGGUUCGUUUGGUUUCGAUUGUUGUCUCAAAUUGAGCUACUGACGCCGUUUAAAAGAAAACACUGUUACACACGUAUGUCAUGUUCAAGUCCCCAUCCCGACCACGCCCAUCCCCCACUCCGGCCAUGUGGCAAGUGUGUGUGCCGGAGUCCCCAUGGUGUCCAGCCCCUCCCCUCACGUAAGCUGUGAACUCUGCGUCAGAUCUUCACUGCAUGGACGAGAGCAGGCUGGAGUCAUGGAUCGGGGAGAGAUGGAAGAAGAUUUGACAACCAUUCAUGGUCACCGUGACAGCCCUUUCAAUUCUUCAGGAAAUGGACCAGAGCUCUUCUGACUCUACAGUGAUCCUUGAACUAAGUUCCGUCCCUGAAAAGGAGGACAUAAGUGUUCCUGAACUCAAGCGAGCAGAAAGUGUAUUUGUUCAUCAAAAAUGGCGAGAAAGAAGUGGAGCACAGAGGAGGUCCAGGCUGUGGAGAGCAAUCUCAUGGACAACAUCAACUCUGGCAGGGUUCCUGGCAAAGCCCAGUGUGAAGCAUCUAUCAAGGGAUCCUCAGAGGUGCUUAGGGGAAGGAGCUGGAAGGCAGUUAAGUUCUAUGUGAAGAACCGCAUUGACACUUUAAAGCGUCUAGAAAAUAACUAAUGGAAAUCUAAAUUGUAAUCACUGAACAUAAUUCUUUUUUGCCAUCUAAGUUCUUCUACAAUCCCACAACUAGGUACAGCGCUAACUUCAAUUCAGCUCAUAUCUGAGCAUGCAAAGACAUUUUAUUAAGAUUGUUAUAACUCUUUUGUUUUCAAAUUUAAUAUGUCAACAUGCUCUGACUAUUAUUUCAUUGAGUGAUGUAAUUUAAAUUUUUAUCCUAAAGAACAUUGUGGUAGUGGGUCAUGGGUGGUUCGAGAAAUGGAGUUAGAGAGAGACACAGGUUGUAGAGAGAGUGA